UGCUUCAUAGCUCAGUCGGUAGAACAUCGCACUAGUAACGAGGAGGUCACGGGUUCAAAACCCGUUGAAGCAU